AUAAACGAUCAAAUGUGUUACUUGUAAGAUAGAGAUUGUAAUUAUAAUGGU
rnacentral:guide_RNA from 1 species